GCAAAACAACCAGAGAGAGAGAGAGAGACCAAAAAAAAAUAAAAAAUUGAAAGGAGAGAAAGAGAGAAUGAGAUAUUAAAGAAAUAUCAUAUCUUCAAUGACACACACUUAGUACCAUCGUAAAGCUUCCAGUUAGAUGAAUCGACACAAAACGAAAAGCCAUCUUUAAAGCUUCCGAUGAGUAACACGGGCUGCUUGUUAAUUUUUUUGACAAAAUCCGAUGAACGGUUACAUCGCCUGGGACAAACGUCGUCGUAUUUUUCAACGAAUAAAAAAUGUCCGCCGUGCUAAUAAGAGAAAUUCCUACCUUUUGCUUUUUCCCAUCUCACAGAUAUGUAUUACGAGUUUUUAUUUUUAUUUUUUAUUUUUCUUUGCUAAUUAUUAUUAUUAUUAUUAUUAUUUAUCUUACUUGCGCUUGCUCAGAACAACACGACGGAAAAAAAAAAGAAAGAAGAAAAGGCUAGGAAGAUGCCACUUGUGAUGUCAUCCACAGGUGGUUCCUCCAGGAACAGCAGCGAUUGAAAGAACAACCCCAUAAGCAACAUGAAAAGCAAUGAAACCAAUGGAAGGAAGCUGAUUUUUGACUCACUGGAGCAGGCGAUGACUCCAGAUGCUGCUGCUUCCGCUGCUCCACACCUGCUUUCAGGGAACCACUUCUCAUCCCAUUUGCCAAACUGCAUAACUCCAAGAAAUUUGGAUCAUGAGCUUACAAAGUGCUACUAUAAACCUUGUUUUAUAAUGUAAAUGACAUGACAAUGAUUGUGAAUCAAAUGUAAACAUAAGUAACAUCAUUGGUAUUAAUGAUGGCUCUUGGAAAAAUAAAAUAAAAUGGCAGAGUUUACUGUUU